rnacentral:lncRNA from 10 species
GUAAUUUACUGGAAUGACUCACAGAACUUAGAAAAGUGCUUUGCUUACUAUUACCAGUUUAUUGUAAAGGAUACAACUCAGGAAGAGCCUAAUGGAAGACAUGCAUAAGACUUGUUGAAAAUCCAUUGAGCAUAAAAGUGAGAGUUUACUUCUGGAUUCCCAAUUCUAUUCCAUUGAUUUAUAUAUCUAUCCUUAUGGUAGGACCACCCUGUCUUGAUUACUAUUGCUUUGUGGUAAGUUUUGAAGUUAGAAAGUGUAAGAACUCCAUUUGUUAUUGUUUUUCAAGAUUGUUUUGUCUGUUUUGGGUCAUUAUAAUUUAGGAUCACUUUGUUAUUAUCUGCAAAGAAGCCAGGGGAGAUUUUGAUAGUGAUUGCCUUAAGUCUGUAAAUCAAUUAGGGAAUAUUGCCAUCUGAACAAUGUUAAGUCUUUCAAUCAAUGAACAUUGAAUUUAUUUCCAUUUAUUUAGGUUGUCUUUAGUUUCUUUUGACAACAUUUUGUACUUUUCCAUAUACAAGUCUGGCAUUUGUUUUGUUAAAUUUAUUCCCAAGAUUGUUUUUCUUUUUGAUACCAUUGUAAAUGGAAUCAUUUUCUUAAGUUCAUUUCAGAUUGUUAAUUUCUACUAUAAAGAAAUACAAUUGAUUUUGUAUAUUGAUAUUACAUCUUGCUACAUUGUACUUGUGUAUUAUUUCUCAUAGUUUAAAUAAUUAUUGUUAAUUGACAAUUUAUAAUUGUAUAUAUUUAU